CAUAGGCUCCAGAAAACAAGACUGGAAAGCUGGGGAUGAUUGUACGCCCUCGCCUGAAUCUUACGUGGUUCCGGCACCUUCCACCUGGACGGUGCAGAGCCGUGGGUGCCACGUGGCCACUUCUGGGUUGGGUUCCCCUUGGCCUGCCACCCUGUCCCUUCUGCUUUCCCACUUUGCCAGCCAGAGUCAAUUUGAGCAUGCCAAGUUCUCCUCUCCAUACAGAGCUCCUGGUCUCCUUAGGGCACAGUUACAAGUGCUGAGUUCUUGCAAGGAUGAACUCAAGAUACAAAAUAUGCUUGGCAACUCACUUCUGAGUGGCCACAGGCACACACAGGAGUCGAACCCACCUGCCUCUGCUGACAGUCAUGGGUCAAGCUCAAAGUCCUGGCUGCUUCUCUGCUCAAGGUCUGUGCCCGCAGAGAGAGCCUGCUCCAGCCUCUUUGCUACAGCCUUGAGUCUUCUGCUAAGAAAAGACACAGAGGCAAAGAGAAACACAGAGAGGAGAAUGCCUCAUGAAAAUGAAGACCGAGAUUGGUGCAAUGUGUCCACAAGCCAGGGAAUGCCAACAUGGCCAGCAACCACCAGAAGCUGGGAGAGAGGCAAGGAACAGAGUCCUUGGAGCCUCCAGAAGGAACCAACCCUGUUGAUACCUUGACUGAAAACUUCCAGCCUCCAGAACUGUGACAGAAUUAAUUUCUGUUAUUGAAAGCCAUUCAGUUUGUGGUAAUUUGUUACAUCAGUCCUGAAUAGCAAACACAGAUGACCCAGGUUUAAAUCCUAGAUCUGCCAUUUGUGAGCAUGGGUAUAUAACUACUUUCUAGAGCCCUGGUUUCCUCACCUGUAAAAUAACCUCAUACGGUUAUUAAGAAGAUCAAAUGAGAUACAAACAUAAAUUCUUAACAGUGCUGGCAUGUUAAUUGUUCAAUAAAUAUGAGUUAUUUACAACAAUUGUGAUAGUAAUGAGUAACACAGAGAAAUGAGAAUUGACUUAGCAG
rnacentral:lncRNA from 1 species